ACGCUCGACACCUACGGGAGGCAGCAGUUGGGAAUAUUGGACAAUGGAGGAGACUCUGAUCCAGUGACGCCGCGUGAAGGAAGAAGGUCUUCGGAUUGUAAACUUAUUUUGUCAGGGAAGAAAAAAUGACUGUACCUGAAGAAAAGCACCGGCUAACUACGUGCCAACAGCCGCGGUAAUCUGAGCGGGCUGGCAAGGC
rnacentral:rRNA from 1 species